CGAGACCCACAAGUCGAGCAGGUGCGAAAGCAGGUCAUAGUGAUCCGGUGGUUCUGUAUGGAAGGGCCAUCGCUCAACGGAUAAAAGGUACUCUGGGGAUAACAGGCUGAUUCCGCCCAAGAGUUCAUAUCGACGGCGGAGUUUGGCACCUCGAUGUCGGCUCAUCACAUCCUGGGGCUGUAGCCGGUCCCAAGGGUAUGGCUGUUCGCCAUUUAAAGUGGUACGUGAGCUGGGUUUAAAACGUCGUGAGACAGUUUGGUCCCUAUCUGCCGUGGGCGUUGGAUAUUUGAGGGGACCUGCUCCUAGUACGAGAGGACCGGAGUGGACGAACCUCUGGUGUACCGGUUAUGACGCCAGUCGUAUCGCCGGGUAGCUAAGUUCGGAAGAGAUAAACGCUGAAAGCAUCUAAGCGUGAAACUCGCCUCAAGAUGAGAUAUCCCGGGGGUUUAACCCCCCUAAAGGGUCGUCCAAGACCAGGACGUUGAUAGGUUGGGUGUGGAAGCGCAGCAAUGCGUUAAGCUAACCAAUACUAAUUGCCCGUGAGGCUUGACCCU
rnacentral:rRNA from 1 species